AGAUUCAACUUAACUGAACUACAGAUAAAUAGUAUUAUUUCUUUCUUUACAGAAAAUUCUUUUCAAUUAUAUUCCAAUCUGUAUUCGGUCUUGUAAUAUAAACAAUUUUCCUUUUUAAAGAGAAAAGAAUGAGAAAGAAUUCAAUAAUCAAAUAAAAGCAGUGUUUGUCAAGUGUGGUGGCUCAAACGAAAAGUUAGGUUAUUUGCGCUUUCUACGACGAACCAGUGCUUACACCAACAUCAUUUCACGGAAAUGUAACCUAAUGCCAGUUACAACGUUUGCAAAGAUUUGAUGUACAGUGAUGAAAAAAUAAAAGUGCAGAAAUAAAUAACAUUCUAUUGCUGAACUUUGGAACUUGGUUGGGCCAAUAGCCAACAGUUGCUCCACCAUCAUUUUAAACAAAAGUGGGGAGAACUUUCGCAUUGAGUCAUAAGUUUCUUCGAGGAUUCUUCGAGGAAAGGAAUCGAAUUUAUCCGAAGCUCGGACAACCGAUUCUACCCGAUGUAACGAGAGCGUAACGACAUUGGCCGGACCAUAGAGCAUCACGGUGACUUUAACCUAGUUAAUGAUAACGCGAAAAUCAAGUUAAACGACCCUCACUAUUUACUCCCUUCUCACCCAUGGACACACUGCCAGGAUGCACUUAAUUACCAGGCUCUCUCGAUUCGCUCUAGUGCCAAUACUGUUUAAAGUAAUUUUUUGUUUAAUAUAAUUCGAUUUCCUUUUUUUUUUUUUUUUUUUUUUCUUUCUUUCGAGUUACCUCGCGAAUCAACUUUUCAUUAUCUACGAUGCAAAA